rnacentral:lncRNA from 1 species
CCGCGCAAUUACGGCGACGGCGACGCCGCUCAAGCCGGAAAUGGGCGCCUAAGAGCUGUGUCCUAAAAGAGAUGUAUUGCAGUCGUCAAGAGGGAUGAAAGAGCAUAUUUCAGAGUACCCAAAACAACUAAAGCAUGCUCUGAGCAUGUUGUGGAAGCUGAUUUCUGGAAAGGUCUGGCAAGUGGCCGGCAGCUUCAGGGGGACACGGCUGUGCCAUCCGUCCUCGUCUUUUGGAGGGUGAAGCCCUCAAGAAAGGCACUUCUUCCGCGGUUACUGUGCACACUCUCUAGCAUCCAACGGCCACAGAACGGGAGGAACACGGUUCAUGAACACUGUGCGCAAGCAGAUAAGAAAAAUUUGGCACCCACCACGGGAUGCUAUCCCCGAACAACGGUCUGCACCUUCAAACACAAGUCACCAGAGCUGCAGGAGCAAGCUGCAGGAGCAAGCUGCAGGAGCAAGCUGCAAAACUGCAAAUGCAGCAACACCAUUGUAGCACUACAAGCAUAGCUAGCCACAAGCAAGGUGAACAAAUCGAGGCUUCAAAAAGAGCUGCACACUCAACAAGCCAAGAGCCAUAACGAGGUAGGGCUGCAGUCUGAAACGGAGGCCGAACUUGCCAGAGGUUGGAAGCUAAGAGCAGAGCCUGAAGUACAACUUAACACAAGCAAGCUCACUGAAGUAAACUGGAUGCAAAGAUGUGGUGAAUGGAAAGGGUUCAGAAAGAUUGUUAGUAACUGAGUUUGAUAUAGAUGCUUACAGUAGUGAAACUCAUCAUAAACAUGCGUGGUUCAACAAUGCUAUUUCGAUGGCCUGCAGGAACUGUACAAACGGCUUAUGGAGACAGGGUGUGACUCCCGCUGGAGUCAUGAGGCGGUUUCGAAGAGGAGGAAGCAACAGCAGCGACGACGCCAAAGCAGUGCGGGAGCUGUUCACACGGUACUUCGUCAACGAGGGACAAGUGAGCUGGCAGUGGUGGAUGGUUGCCUAAGAAGGCACGCUGUCAUUACAUGUGCAUGAGGACACAAGACUGUGUGGGAGAACCAGCCCCGAGUCAACAGCAAGGCACUCCUCAACAUUCCGCUACCUGCUGCCAUCACAUACUCUGGUGCCAGUCCUACGCACAUUCUUUGCCUUCUUCGUUCCAUAAAAAUUUGACUAAACAUGCCCAGUGAUUGAGCCCGACAUUGAGUUUUCUCCUUUCAAAGACCUGAGAAGCUGAACAGAAGUUCCUCCCGACAGCCAAGAAAGGCAGCAAGCUCCACCUGGUAGGCAAUAGCCGUGCACUCACACCUGGCUACUCAGCAAAGUAUGGGACAUACACAAUACUUCACGCCAGAUUCAACAAGAUCUCAUAAGUCAAGGUUCUUCACAUAAGGAGUGGCUAAAUAUAAAAUUAUGUCAUUGCAUUGCAUGGAUGAGGUGUGCAUUUUACUGAAUUUGUUCCUACCCUAAUCGACAGAAGUAAAAUAGAAUAAUCACAUGGAUACAGAAGGCAUGAAGUGUUCCCUGGACUUCAUCGUGAGCACGGGACUGUCUGUGUAUAGCUUGUGACUAAACAGCACUUUAGGGUGAAGGCCCUGAUGGACAGAUACCCUGACACCAAGCACCGGUUUGACUCAUGCCACAUCGAAGAAACUAACAAUAUUUGAGAAAUGAAUUCCAAUACCUGUUAAAUUACUCAAAGUAUAACCGAAGAUGAAAUUUGUUAAUGUAAAGGUAGUGCAACAUGCUUUGUUGUCAAGAUACAUGAGGCAUUAUUCCAACAUCAUCUUAGAGUAUACUAAAGUUGAUGAUAUUGUCCAUGCUGGACCAAAUGCGAUUUUACUAUAGCACCCUAUUUUGACCGAAUAAUAUGUCUACCUACAUUGUCUUCCAGACUUGGCACGAGCUGAGCUAGUAAUGCUUUCUAAUUUCUAGGCAUUUACAACGAGAUGGCCACUGCAGGCAAGACGAAGAACAGUGUCUUGAACACAUGGGUGAAGACCGUACAUGGGCAUGUCUGCUGGUGUGCCCAGACUAGCAAUGACAAUGGCAUGCUGGUGCUUGCAAAAUAGAUGCCCGCCAUGCAACACGUGAUCAACGUUUACCAGCACCCUAGACCCCUUACCUCCCCUUGGACCCAUACCCCAAUCAAAAAGGACUGGUGGUUUCAGGAAGUAAAAAAGGAUUUGUGUUUGGAGCAUUCAUAAUAUCCUUUCAACACCAAUUGCCCGCUAGGUUUUCAUAUAUGAACAAACUUCCUUUGGCUGUUCUGGCCAGUCUACAAUCAAAUACCCCAAGAAGGAUACCAUCUCAUAGCCAGCUCGUGGAGACAUUUCUAUCAGAUGAUGAGGCCUAAAAUAUAUCUUUUAGCCUUAUAAUUUGAGAAAACCUUUCUUCACUGUACAGGUCAUGAAGACACAUAAUAAGGAAGCAAAAACUAACUUGUAACAUAACAAAGGCAUAAAAAAAAUAAAAUCCAUUUUACUUUGUACCUAAUAUAUUGGAGAAUAACUUACCAACAUCCAAGCUGUCUAAAUUAUUUAGUGAAGCUCAUUCUCAUUGCUAGGUAAACAUGAGGAACCAAACAGCCAAUGCUUUUCGUGUUCUUUUUCAUUAAGUCAUGAAACUAUCACUUUGCACUUUCUACAUAAAGCCGCUUGGAUGACAAGCUAUUAACAUGAUUACAAAAUGGAGAACCUAGAUGUAGCUCAAUUUAGAACUGAACUGACAAGCCAAAAUUUCUCUUUGCAAACAAGAAGCCUACUCCCUUGACGCCACUUGCGGGCAUCACAUUCCAGAAGUACCUCAUCAACAGGCCGGUGAAGGAGAAGAGAUGGCGCUCCUUUGAACCCUGCGAGAAUGUUGGCGUUGCUUUGGCUGAAGAGAUCUAGCAACUUCGGGAUGCUCUCAGUGUCGCUACACAGGGCCUCCAGUGGCUCCUGUACAGUGGGUGCGCAGCAACUCGGACCAGCGACUCCAGUGCUCCCCAUUCAAGACGAUGAAGAUUUGUGGAGUAAUUGAAAAACACAGAGUCCCUCUUCAGAUUGACGAACAAAGAGAGGGAAGAAGUGACCCAGUUUACCAUCGGUCAAGCCAACAAUGGAAGGUGGCACGAAGAGCGGCAGGGCAGAAUUACAGCGUCGGUGUUCUUUGCUGUCAUCAACUGCGUCAAGCCCGAGCACCUGGUGAAGGACAUUUUGUACCCGAGUCCAGAUGCCUCAAGUGAGGCCAUGUGCAAUUGGAGGACACAUGAGGGCACCGCCGUUGCUGCCUACACAUCACUUAUAGCAGCAUUCGACACUCCUGUCGAGAUCCUCGAGACUGGGCUGCACAUUCGCCCAAAGUGCAGCUUCAUCGCUGCAUCGCCAGACCGCAUCAUGGUAAAGGAGGACAAUGAAGGGGGUCUUUUGGAGGUGAAGUGUCCAUCGUAGAAGAUUGGCUAACACCAAUAAAGGACUUUAAGGACAAAAAGUUUUGCUGCAAGGUCGUGGAUGGUUUGGUACGCCUUAAGAAAACUCACACCUACUUCUACCAGGUGCAAGGGCAGAUGGCGGUGACCGGACACGAGUGGUGCGAUUUUGUUCUCUGGACGAAUAACAAGACUGUUGCCAACUCAACACGCAUUGAGACCAUCACCUUCGACAAGGAGUUUGUUGAUCGAGUGCUGCUGCCAGAGCUCAUCUAUUUCGCCAAGCAUGCCCUCCUCCCGAAAGUAGCAACCGGUCAUGUAAGGCACUGAAGAGCCCUCAUAGCUCGCAGCAAGUAUGUCUCCUUCAAGCAGUACUGCACAGGGUUUUAUGUGGUGGAGGACGGUCCCAGACUGAAAACAAAACUGCGUAGGCUGGAGUAAAGAAACACCUGCAUGAAGCCUCAGGCUUCUCCAAGUGACAACGGCUCUUUUCAGAGCCAAAUAAACAUGCUUAUUGAGAGCCACGUUUUUGUAGAGAUUCCCGUGUCUUGGAAAAUGGUAUUUACUCGAGAAAAACAAAACACAGCGUGUGGUAGUUAAGUUUGUAAAGUUUAUUACGAUAAAAAGAAAGCCCCCCUUGCCUAUAACUCCACCAAAUAAGUCCGUCAAAAAUUACCGUGGUCCAUUUCACCAACAGCAAAAAGAGUGACAUUCCUGUCUACACACUGGCCAGUCCCCCACUUGCUGUCUUGAAUUCAGUCAAUAUUCUGGGUGUCACACUCGCAAGCAAUCUGGACUUUUCUGCCCAUAUUUUGAGUGUCGUCUCCAGGAUCUGACGGACGCUGGGUAUAAAGCACGUGGCCAAAUUAUGCAGGCCAAUAGUGCUGCGGAUGCUUUACACAGCACUUGUGCUCCCCACUAUGGCAAUCCUCGGCAAUCUAGUCCCCAGACCAACAGCGCCACUGCGAGUGCCUCGAGAGUGUGCAGCACUGUGCUACGUGCAUCAUCUGUGGCCAGUCAUCCAUCACCUUCGCCAGCUCGUAUGGCACACGUCUCGGAGCCCUUAGUGGUGACCCUUGUUGAGAGGCUACGUACGUCGCGGGUAUGCAGGCCUUGUCGGGUGUUCGAUGGGCCGCCUUCGGGAACCCCCUUGUCUUCUGCAGUGCGGGCGAGUAAAACUGGGCAACCCGAGUAGCUCCGCGGCAGAACCAUCCGCCAUAGUGAACCCAUGAAGCUGACAGAGACUUCCUAACUAUUCUCUUACCCACCUCAAGCCCCCUGCCAACUUCAAACAAGGAGUCUCAAGAACUUUGCGUUUUCUUUUCCCUUUGAGUGGCAUCGAGAUCCUCUUGUGUUCUUUUGCUCUUGCUUCUCUCGUGUGUGAUCUUUUUUUCGUCAAUAGUGUAUGUGGCAGUUGACUAGCAGGCGCAUAUGCAUAAGGGUUGUAUCCUUUCUGCUUAGCCACGUACAUUGCCAUCUGUGGAAAUCAAUUAUAAUUACAAUUACAAUAAAGUUUUGCUCUGGCAUCACCACAGCAAAACUUUGGGUGGGCGUUCUUUCGUAACUUUAUGGUAAAAUUAUAAAAUAUUUGUUUUAUUGAAUUAUUCAAAGAUGUGUGAAUGUUUUUAAAGCAAAAAUUGAAAGAACUUUGUGCAAAAGUUAUUACGUGGCAAUUUGUGAAAAAGGUAAAAAACCACGGAAGCAUAUUACUAAAUGCACACCCAUGCAGUGGAAUAUGCUGUCAACUAGCGGCAUUGGACAGAAGUCGAGCUUGGGUCAUUAAUACCAAACUUGACGUCACCUUCGACGCAAAGCAAGAGCGCAGCUACGUGACUGCAGGCCUCGCUGAGCCUGUAGGCACAAAAUGAUUUUAAAUGGGAGGGGCCGUGUUGCUGCGAUCAGAAAGCAAUCAAAAUGAAAGGAAAAAACAAGCUACUCACUCUGCCAUGCAAGUGCUGUGGACACUUAGGACUGUGCCCUCUUUUUUGACCAUGGCCCAAGGCUGGUGGUACCCUCCGAAGGUUUGACUAGCUUCCACUUUCAUGGUGACGAGAAUGAUGCCUGUGCUCCCUGUCGUAGCCCCAAAUAAGCAAACAGCAUGAACCCUACCACUCAAAAACAGGUUGCAACUGUCUUCAAGCAUGUAACUCUUGAAGACGGUUGCAAUCUAUAUCUACAUGUAACUCUUGAAGGCAGUUGCAUCUAUAUCUACCUCGUGGAGGGGUCCAAGCAUGGACCCCUCCACAAGGUAGAUAUAGAUGUUGCCAAUUUCUAGUCCCGGCCACUGGCGAGCAUCUAUGGUGAAGACGUGUUUCUGAAUAGCAGCAUCUAAUGGAUCUCGAAGCUCCUGGCCUGCGAUUGUCAGCUUUUGCCGGUAGCAUUUGUCGCCGGUUCUUUCAACUAGGUAAGAAGAGGACAUUUUGUUGGAGUAAAGUCGUGAAAUUCUGAUUGAUACGUCGCUUGUACAACACGGUAAAACAGUAACGACCGAGCAAUUCACACGCCUCGUUGCGAAGAUGGUAGUGUUUUCAACGUGCCAGCAGGGCCAGAAAUAUUGAACCAGAUGUCAUGAGAGGUCUGUCAACAGGAAGCCAGAGGUUGAUUGCACAACUGUUUUGUUUCCUGUCCUUGUAGUUUGGCAGAAAUACUUGUUACGAAUUGGUGACACGACAGGAUGCUAUAAAUCAAUAUUAAAACCUGUUUUGUUUGCUUGAUCUCAAGAGUGAAUUUUAAAACACGCGCUCUUAGGCACCUGUUUCCGGGUUGAGCAGCGUCGCAGUCAGCGUCGACGUAACCGUGCAUUGCAUUAUAGGACGUUCCCCGCUAAAGGUAGCAAGGAAAUUUUUUCUGCUGAAUUUAGAAGGAAAA